UGGGGAAUUUUGGACAAUGGGCGAAAGCCUGAUCCAGCAAUGCCGCGUGUGUGAAGAAGGCCUUCGGGUUGUAAAGCACUUUUGUCCGGAAAGAAAUCCUUGGCUCUAAUACAGUCGGGGGAUGACGGUACCGGAAGAAUAAGCACCGGCUAACUACGUGCCAGCAGCCGCGGUAAUACGUAGGGUGCAAGCGUUAAUCGGAAUUACUGGGCGUAAAGCGUGCGCAGGCGGUUUGCUAAGACCGAUGUGAAAUCCCCGGGCUCAACCUGGGAACUGCAUUGGUGACUGGCAGGCUAGAGUAUGGCAGAGGGGGGUAGAAUUCCACGUGUAGCAGUGAAAUGCGUAGAGAUGUGGAGGAAUACCGAUGGCGAAGGCAGCCCCCUGGGCCAAAUACUGACGCUCAUGCACGAAAGCGUGGGGAGCAAAACAGGAUUAGAUACCCUGGGUAGUCCACGCCCUAAACGAUGUCAACUAGUUGUCGGGGAUUCAUUUCCUUAGUAACGUAGCUAACGCGUGAAGUUGACCGCCUGGGGAGUACGGUCGCAAGAUU
rnacentral:rRNA from 1 species